GACGAAGGGGGCUAGCGUUGUUCGGAAUUACUGGGCGUAAAGCGUGCGCAGGCGGCUUCUCAAGUCAGGGGUGAAAGCCCAGAGCUCAACUCUGGAAUUGCCUUUGAGACUGAGUGGCUUGAGUACGGGAGAGGUGAGUGGAAUUCCCAGUGUAGAGGUGAAAAUUCGUAGAUAUUGGGAAGAACACCGGUGGCGAAGGCGGCUCACUGGCCCGUAACUGACGCUCAUGCACGACAGCGUGGGGGAUCAAA
rnacentral:rRNA from 1 species